AUUGAACGCUGGCGGCCUGCUUUCCCCCUGCACGUCGACCGGCAGCGCGGGUUUCGGCCUGGCGGCGAGUGGCGAACGGGUGAGUAAUACAUCGGAACGUGCCCAGUAGUGGGGGAUAGCUCGGCGAAAGCCGGAUUAAUACCGCAUACGACCUGAGGGUGAAAGCGGGGGAUCUUCGGACCUCGCGCUAGUGAAGCGGCCGAUGGCAGAUUAGCUAGUUGGUGGAGUAAAGGCCUACCAAGGCGACGAUGUGUAACUGGUCUGAGAGGACGACGAGCCACACUGGGAAGUAGACACGGCCCAGACUCCUACGCGAGGCAGCAGUGGGAAAUUUUGGACAAUGGGCGAAAGCCUGAUCCAGCAAUGCCGCGUGUGUGAUGAAGGCCUUCGGGUUGUAAAGCACUUUGGGCGGGAACGAAAAGGACUGUGCCAAUACCACGGUUCGAUGACGGUACCCGCAGAAUAAGCACCGGCUAACUACGUG
rnacentral:rRNA from 1 species